GCAAGUCGAGCGGAUGACGGGAGCUUGCUCCUUGAUUCAGCGGCGGACGGGUGAGUAAUGCCUAGGAAUCUGCCUGGUAGUGGGGGACAACGUUUCGAAAGGAACGCUAAUACCGCAUACGUCCUACGGGAGAAAGCAGGGGACCUUUGGGCCUUGCGCUAUCAGAUGAGCCUAGGUCGGAUUAGCUAGUUGGUGGGGUAAUGGCUCACCAAGGCGACGAUCCGUAACUGGUCUGAGAGGAUGAUCAGUCACACUGGAACUGAGACACGGUCCAGACUCCUACGGGAGGCAGCAGUGGGGAAUAUUGGACAAUGGGCGAAAGCCUGAUCCAGCCAUGCCGCGUGUGUGAAGAAGGUCUUCGGAUUGUAAAGCACUUUAAGUUGGGAGGAAGGGCAGUAAGUUAAUACCUUGCUGUUUUGACGUUACCGACAGAAUAAGCACCGGCUAACUCUGUGCCAGCAGCCGCGGUAAUACAGAGGGUGCAAGCGUUAAUCGGAAUUACUGGGCGUAAAGCGCGCGUAGGUGGUUUGUUAAGUUGGAUGUGAAAGCCCCGGGCUCAACCUGGGAACUGCAUCCAAAACUGGCAAGCUAGAGUACGGUAGAGGGUGGUGGAAUUUCCUGUGUAGCGGUGAAAUGCGUAGAUAUAGGAAGGAACACCAGUGGCGAAGGCGACCACCUG
rnacentral:rRNA from 1 species